GCACAAAAAAAUACGAAAGGCGCAAGCCACGGCCCAGCGAGCAGCGGCGCUGGGCACAUGGGCGGCGAGCGAGGCGCAACGCCGGCGGACAGCAGUUGUUGCGAGGAGAGCAUCUGAAGCGAGCUGCCGUCGGCGCGGGCGGACUCGUGAAAGCGCAAGGCGCGUCAGCCGCAGGUGUGCGCGCCUCCACCGGCAAGCAGAGCCCCGGCCCUUGAGCCGCCGCGCGCGCGCGCUCGCGCCCACGACGCUGUUCUGCCGUCACUGCUGCCCACCGAGGCGCGUCCCCCCAUGCGCGCACUUAGGCCUAGCUAGAAGAACGCCGCCGCACGAGACGAUCACCACGACGACACACGCACGGGGCCGGAUUACGAGAGGCGAGCAAAGCGGCGCAGCGCGACCACGUCCCUCAUGUCCGUGGCCAACACCGAGAGCUCGAUGACUCUGAGCCAGAGCAUGGAUUCCGUCAACACGGUAGCCGAGGAAGAGGUGAGUGUGCCAUGCUGUUGUUCUUGCUCGGCGGAACCGUGCGGCGUUCAUUCGGUGCGGACACUCUUCGUGAGUGGCCUUCCCAUGGACGCAAAGCCCAGGGAACUCUACCUGCUAUUCCGUGCCUACAAGGGUUAUGAAGGAUCUCUGCUGAAAGUCACACAAAAGAAUGGAAAGACAUCUUCGCCAGUAGGUUUUGUAACAUUUUCCUCACGAGCUGGAGCAGAAGCCGCCAAGCAGGAGCUUCAACAGGGCGUGCGGUUCGACCCCGACCUUCCACAGACCAUCCGGCUCGAGUUCGCCAAGAGCAACACAAAGGUUAGCAAACCGAAACAGCAGUCUCCUCCCGCCGCGGCCACGCACCCGACACUCCUGCACCCUAUCACGGGACAAGAAAUCGGCGCCGCCCUGCUGCCGGGGACCCACGACGGCUGGCCACACCACCCUCUCUCCUACGCUGAAGUGCCCGUCACCACUACCCUGCACACUGCGGCUCUCAUGCACCCGGCCCUCCAUGCGCAGCUGCCCGACAGCGUUGCCCAACAUGAAGCCGCGGUGGAUCUCUGCUGUCUACAUGCGUGGCUAGAGCUGGAGCGUCGAGACCGACAACUUAUGCAGCACACUUUGCUGGGAACUCCUCUGCAGCCUCCGUUGACGAUGCCGCACCCACUGUCGCACGCGGCGCUGGCCGGCAGUGCAGCUGCGAUGCACGCCACCAUGCCGCCCCCGCACCUGGUCACCAGCCCGGCGCUCGCGUCACCUGUCGGCUCCACCUCGUCUUCGGCUGCCGCAGCGGGAACGCCACCCUGCUCCACGCUGUUCGUGGCCAACUUGGGACAGUUCGUCUCCGAGCAGGAGCUCAAGGACCUCUUCGGAAGGACGUCCGCCUUGCAACACAUGCUAUGAAUGCCUUGCAGGGCUGUGUACUGUUCUCCUCAGAUCGAGGUGGAGUCCGCAUUGAAUUCGCCAAAAACAAGAUGGGAGAGGUAUCCCGUGAAUGAUGAACUGCAACAGUCGAGAAAACGCUUCAAGUUUCCUUAGGUGAAUCUCGGUGUGUGUUCGAGAGGUGUACACAGCAGGCUGCAGUGCAAGCAACCAAAGGCGAAGGCUUGGACAAUAUUUUCAGUACAUU
rnacentral:misc_RNA from 1 species